rnacentral:tRNA from 1 species
AGGCGAUCGGCGACGGCGCCUGUCUUGAAAACAGGUGAACUCUCAUGAGUCUUGGGGGUUCGAGUCCCUCGGCGG